CAGCGUCAUCACGUAAACCGGGUUGUCACCGGGACAACGUUGUACCAAUGGGAGGGGCAGGACUUUGGAAAUGUUGGAGAACGUGCCUCCUCGUUAUCCCCAUGUUGAUGGUUUGUUCCAACAAUAUCAAACACUGUUACCGUUACACAGCAAAAACAUGGGUCAAUAGUGAACGUUUACAUCUUAGACCAGAUCAAACUGACGCUGUGCGGAUGAUUUCUUCUGUUCUAUAAUUAAGAAAUAUAGACUUCAUUAUAGUUGCUCGGAGAUCUGUGCUGCAUGAUCAAUGAAACCCUGUAUCCCAUUACUGUAAUUACAGCUCAUAACAACUUUUGUGUGAUAACAGGCAGACCGUGAGAGCUGUAAACAAACGCGCUGGCUCAUCUGCCCCUGACUUAGACUCUUGCUGUGGGCAGAAAUGGGAGGAUGAAAGUAUGAAUCAUUGCCUAUAUCAACCAGCAGACUUGACUGUUUGCCUGUUCCACAUGUAAGCACCAGAUACCGACUCCAGACUGAGCAAUCGUUUUGGGCACGGGGCCAAGAGACAAGGACGAGUGUUCUAUUAGUGGGCCUCUGUUCCUGCCUGUAAUCUGGGAGUCUUUAAACAGGCUAGAAGGAAAUUAGGUACAAGCCUGCCAUUUAAACAGCAGGACACAACAAUCCCUCAAAAUGUCAAGAGCAUGCAGAUGAGAUCCAUGGAGCUUUAUUGCUGCAAUGUUCUCAACAAAGGGCUUUGCAGACAAAAUAAACAGGAGAUGAAAGGGAAGUCAUGUGCAUCCAGGAACCAAUUGUUUUCAAGCAAUUAGAAAACAAAUUCAGAUUCUGUCGACGGAGCGAACGUUGCUCUCACACAUAUC